CAUAUUGAAAAGCAUGUACCAUCAUCAACAAGUUUUCCUAUUUCUUAUUUUUGCACUUGAAGGAAUCAAUGGAAAAGAUGAAGAUUCUGUAAUUCAAUGGCCGUUUUCAGCAUCUAACAGGGAAGGAGAUGUUACUACUCUGUACUGCAAUUACACUUAUGCUUCAGGCUACACAAAUAUCUACCUCCAGUGGUACCGCAAGACUGCUAAAGAAAAUAUCCAGUAUAUUCUUCAAACUUCAAAGGUGGCUGGACAAACUGAAGCAUCAACUGAUGAUGAACACUUCUUAGCUUCUCUCAAUGAACAACAUAAAACAACUUCUCUAACAAUAAAGGCAACAAGGUUAAAUGACUCUGCCAUCUACUACUGUGCGCUUAGUACCACAAAGGAACAUCUGCUUGUGCUUCUUGAUCAAAAACCACAUCUCUAA